rnacentral:rRNA from 1 species
CACUACGGAAUAGCUUUUGGAAACGAAAGGUAAUACCGUAUACGCCCUCCGGGGGAAAGAUUUAUCGGUGAAAGAUCGGUCCGCGUUAGAUUAGCUAGUUGGUGAGGUAACGGCUCACCAAGGCUACGAUCUAUAGCUGGUCUGAGAGGAUGAUCAGCCACACUGGAACUGAGACACGGUCCAGACUCCUACGGGAGGCAGCAGUGGGGAAUAUUGCACAAUGGGCGCAAGCCUGAUGCAGCCAUGCCGCGUGAAUGAUGAAGGCCUUAGGGUUGUAAAAUUCUUUCGCCAGGGAUGAUAAUGACAGUACCUGGUAAAGAAGCCCCGGCUAACUUCGUGCCAGCAGCCGCGGUAAUACGAAGGGGGCUAGCGUUGUUCGGAAUUACUGGGCGUAAAGCGCACGUAGGCGGACUUUUAAGUCAGAUGUGAAAUCCCGAGGCUCAACCUCGGAACUGCAUUUGAAACUGGGAGUCUAGAGAUCAGGAGAGGUUAGCGGAAUACCGAGUGUAGAGGUGAAAUUCGUAGAUAUUCGGUGGAACACCAGUGGCGA